UGGUAGCUCAGUGGUAGAGCACCUGCCUUGCAAGCCAAAGGCCCCCGGUUCAUUCACCGGCAUCUCAG